AUUUUGAUUGACAGCACAAGCACGCUACUACAAAUGUAGCACGGACUUCCUGUGAACUUGAUGAUGGAAAAUAAAAGCCAAUGAUUACUGUCAAAUGGAUUUCUCAGGUGAGCUAAAAAAAGAUUACCUUUAUUGCUUGGAAUAUUUAGGAAAAAUUAAUAGAAUUUUUAUUUUAUACAACAUAUAUCUGAGAAUCAAGGGGGUUAUCUCUCUCUCUUACUCUCUCCCUCUCUCUCUCUCUCUCGUACAUUUCUCUGUUCAAUAAAAAACUAUGACAACACUUUACUUAUUUAGUUUUGAAAAUUUAAUCUUCACAUGUAUUACAAAUAAUUUGAAUGCCUCUUUCCAACAUCUUGACCGAGUAUAAUCACGGCCGGGAAAUGUCUACAGAUACAUGAAGAAGUUAGCUAAAGUAAUCACCAUAAAAGAAUAAAAAGGCACAUAAAUAUAGAAUAUUUUGCAGUAGAA